ACCUCGGUAGUCUAAUGGCUUAGGACGCUCGUACGGAAUACAAAAGAUUCGGGUUUAAGUCCUGGCCGAGAUA
rnacentral:tRNA from 1 species